rnacentral:rRNA from 1 species
CACGUAGGGACCAAGCGUUGUCCGGAUUCAUUGGGCGUAAAGGGCGCGUAGGCGGCCACCGCAAGUCGACUGUGAAAUCUCCGGGCUUAACCCGGAAAGGUCAGCCGAUACUGCGGGGCUAGAGUGCAGAAGGGGCAAUCGGAAUUCCCGGUGUAGCGGUGAAAUGCGCAGAUAUCGGGAGGAACACCAGUGGCGAAGGUCGGCCACCUGGACCAGACCUGACGCUGAGGCGCGAAGGCCGGGGGGAGCGGAACGGGG